rnacentral:snRNA from 1 species
AUACUUACCUGGACGGGGUCGAUGGGCGAUCGAGAAGGCCCAUGGCCUAGGCUGGAGACCUUCAUUGCACUUUGAAGGGGCGACAGCCUAAGGUCGGCCCAAGCGGUCGAGCCUACGUCAUAAUUUGUGGAAGAGGGGGUCUGCGUUCGCGCGGCCCCUA